AACGAACGCUGGCGGCGUGCCUAACACAUGCAAGUCGAACGGAAUUAGAGAGCUUGCUCUUUAAUUUAGUGGCGCACGGGUGAGUAACGCGUAGAUAAUCUGCCUGACGAUCUGGGAUAACACUUCGAAAGAGGUGCUAAUACCGGAUAAGCCCACGGGUUCUUUGGAAUCUGCGGGAAAAGGGGGGGACCUUCGGGCCUUCUGUCGUCAGAUGAGUCUGCGUACCAUUAGCUAGUUGGUAGGGUAAAGGCCUACCAAGGCGACGAUGGUUAGCUGGUCUGAGAGGAUGAUCAGCCAAACUGGAACUGAGACACGGUCCAGACUCCUACGGGAGGCAGCAGUGGGGAAUUUUGCGCAAUGGGCGAAGCCUGACGCAGCAACGCCGCGUGAGUGAUGAAGGCUUUCGGGUCGUAAAGCUCUGUCAAUGGGAAAGAAGUGUAUUUGGGCUAAUAUCCUUAAUACUUGACGGUACCCAUAAAGGAAGCACCGGCUAACUCCGUGCCAGCCGCCGCGGUAAGAC
rnacentral:rRNA from 1 species